GGGUUCUCCGAAAAUGACGACCACUUUUGCUGUCCUCAUUUUUAUGUCAUUUAUAAAUCAGAUUAUGACAAGCAAUUCAACGGGAAAUUACACAGCGCCAUUAGCAGUUGACAAUUCCGCAUUGAAGAAUAUCAAAACAUAUUCCCAGUUUCUGAACAUUAAAAAAAUAAUUUUCGAAAAAAGACCAUCCGUUUUACCAGGAAAGAUAAUGGAGGACAAAAAAACUAAAACAAUUCUUGGAUGUAUCAAACUAGAUACCUGUUUUUGAUAUUAAAAAUACAUCAGAAAGAAUGAAUUUAUGUAUAUCAAUAUUUGAAUGUAUGUGCACAAAGACUGUAGUUUUGUUAAUGUUACGAUUGAUUAUUACUCACCAAAAUUGCUUUUUACACUUAACAGUGCUUGUACCGGUUUUGUUAUUUUUUAAUAAAAACAAAAAUUUUAAACAUAUUAUACUAGUUUCCAACAGCCAAAAAUGAUAUAAGUAAAAAAUCUCGUUUUAAAGCGUAUGGAUAACGUUUAUAAAA